GCUUGUUGGUAUCUGGGGGCCAUUUUGUGGUUGAUUAUGAGACUUGUUGACCUCAAAAUGCAACUAAACUCAAACUGUGAUCACUGGGCUCUUCUUCCUCCCUCAUCAUCUUCCUCACUGUGUGGGGGGACCACAUGUGUCCCAACUCUGCCACCUUGUUUGAGAGGAAGGUUGCUGACAUCUGCAAUUCUUUCAAGAUGGAGUCCUCAGACACAUUAGGCAAUCCUCUCCCCAGACAACCCUCCCCCUCUCCCCACUCCCCCCAAUCACACAGAUGAGACAAACAGCAGGAGGACUCGGUGACUGAAGCAUGAUGUCAGAGGAAAGGGAAUAUUCACACUGCAUUUUGCUCCAGAGCUGAACCUCUCUGGGGUCAAACCCCUAUCAUCUGGAGGCCUGGAUGGGUGACCUCGCUCUUCUGAACCAUUUUUGGCUGACAGUGAAACAUGACCUCUGCUGACCUCAUCUGGACACAGGAGGCUACUCCCCCACAUCAUCAUAGUCCAUCCCACUGGGAGCUGGAGGGCUUUCAGCCAGAACACUCUCCCCUACAGGGAUGGAUCAGGAGACAGACAGACACAGUCAGGGAAAGGCUCAUUUUCAGCAAAUACCUGCUGUGAUCUUGUAAUUCUAUACUGAAAGAAAAAGUUACAAUCAAAAUAUUUUCAUAGGGUCAUGUCUACACUAAAAUGUCUACUUUCAGAAAAGUUUGCAGGUGGAAUGGAAUGUGCAUAUUCUCAUAAUUGCCCAUGAAGCAAUCUGAAUUCCAAGAACCAGUAUAUUAAAUAUAAUGGGAUGGAUUGAUGAAUUCUUAUUAAACCAUAAAAGCUUGUAGUUA